CUUCCGAUCUUGGAUUUUUGCAUGUACCGUAUGAAUAAGGAUCGGCUAACUCCGUGCCAGCAGCCGCGGUAAUACGGAGGAUCCGAGCGUUAUCCGGAUUUAUUGGGUUUAAAGGGAGCGUAGAUGGGUUGUUAAGUCAGUUGUGAAAGUUUGCGGCUCAACCGUAAAAUUGCAAUUGAUACUGGCAGUCUUGAGUACAGUUGAGGUAGGCGGAAUUCGUGGUGUAGCGGUGAAAUGCUUAGAUAUCACGAAGAACUCCGAUUGCGAAGGCAGCUUACUAACCUGUAACUGACAUUGAUGCUCGAAAGUGUGGGUAUCAAACAGGAUUAGAUACCCUGGUAGUCCACACGGUAAACGAUGAAUACUCGCUGUAGGCGAUAUACAGUCUGCGGCCAAGCGAAAGCAUUAAGUAUUCCACCUGGGGAGUACGCCGGCAACGGUGAAACUCAAAGGAAUUGACGGGGGCCCGCACAAGCGGAGGAACAUGUGGUUUAAUUCGAUGAUACGCGAGGAACCUUACCCGGGCUUAAAUUGCAACCGAAUAUGGCGGAAACGCCAUAGCUAGCAAUAGCGGUUGUGAAGGUGCUGCAUGGUUGUCGUCAGCUCGUGCCGUGAGGUGUCGGCUUAAGUGCCAUAACGAGCGCAACCCUUGUUGUCAGUUACUAACAGGUUUCGCUGAGGACUCUGACAAGACUGCCAUCGUAAGAUGUGAGGAAGGUGGGGAUGACGUCAAAUCAGCACGGCCCUUACGUCCGGGGCUACACACGUGUUACAAUGGGGGGUACAGAGGGCCGCUACCACGCGAGUGGAUGCCAAUCCCCAAAACCUCUCUCAGUUCGGACUGGAGUCUGCAACCCGACUCCACGAAGCUGGAUUCGCUAGUAAUCGCGCAUCAGCCACGGCGCGGUGAA
rnacentral:rRNA from 1 species